AGAAAUGUGUCUGAAAAAGAGUUACUUUGAUAGAGUAAAUUAUAGAGGUUUAAAUCCUCUUAUUUCUA
rnacentral:tRNA from 2 species